AAAGUUUAUUAAUAUUCUUUAAUUUUCAUGCCUUUUGUUCUUAUUGGUGUGCCGUCUAAAGUUAAAAUUAUUUUUUAUUCAUAAAUUUUGCAAUAUAGAAAGGUUAUUAAAACAAAUGAGUUGUUGAUUUUACUAUUUAGAGGAACUUGCUGUUGAGAUUAAUCAGGUUGAAAUUUUAGGAGUGGGUGCAUAAAAUGAUUUGCAGAACAGGAUAUAACCCCCUGGUGCACUGUGAAAGGUCGUAAGGUUAUAAGUCCCUGGCAUGGAUGGAACAAGCCUGUAAACUUGGCCUGCUGCAAAUCAAACUAUGCUUUUUAAAACUUUUAUUUAUUGAUUGUUUUGGAAUUAAUACAAUCUGGACAAGUUAAUGUGCAAAUGUUAAAGAAUUAUAUGCAGUUUAAAUAUGUCUGAAUAGAUCAUGUGAAUUGGUUGUAAUCACAAAAUACUUGUGUUGCUUGAUGAUGAUCAAUUAAAAGUAACCCUAAACAUUAUUGUUUUAAUUUUUAUACGACCGCAAAAUUUGAAAAAAUUUUCGUCGUAUAUUGCUAUCACGUUGGUGUCGUCGUCUGCGUCGUCGUCGUCGUCGUCCGAAUACUUUUAGUUUUCGCACUCUAACUUAAGUAAAAGUGAAUAGAAAUCUAUGAAAUUAUAACACAAGGUUUAUGACACAAAAGGAAGGCUGGG
rnacentral:lncRNA from 1 species